AUUGAACGCUGGCGGCAUGCCUUACACAUGCAAGUCGAGCGGCAGCACGGGGGCAACCCUGGUGGCGAGUGGCGAACGGGUGAGUAAUACAUCGGAACGUGCCCAGUCGUGGGGGAUAACGUAGCGAAAGCUACGCUAAUACCGCAUACGAUCUACGGAUGAAAGCGGGGGAUCGCAAGACCUCGCGCGAUUGGAGCGGCCGAUGGCAGAUGAGGUAGUUGGUGGGGUAAAGGCUCACCAAGCCGACGAUCUGAAGCUGGUCUGAGAGGACGACCAGCGACACUGGGACUGAGACACGGCCCAGACUCCUACGGGAGGCAGAAGUGGGGAAUUUUGGACAAUGGGCGCAAGCCUGAUCCAGCCAUUCCGCGUGCAGGAUGAAGGCCUUCGGGUUGUAAACUGCUUUUGUACGGAACGAAAAGGCUCUUUCUAAUACAGAGGGCUCAUGGCGGUACCGUAAGAAUAAGCACCGGCUAACUACGUGCCAGCCGCCGCUGUAACAC
rnacentral:rRNA from 1 species